ACUCAAAUGAAUAGACGGGGGCCCGCACAAGCGGUGGAGCAUGUGGUUUAAUUCGAGGCAACGCGAAGAACCUUACCAAGGCUUGACAUACACGCCGAUACUGUGGAAACACAGUAGCCUUCGGGGGCGUGAACAGGUGGUGCAUGGUUGUCGUCAGCUCGUGUCGUGAGAUGUUGGGUUAAGUCCCGCAACGAGCGCAACCCUUGUCCUUAGUAGCCAUCGGGAAAGCCGGGCACACUAGGGAGACUGCCGUGGAUAACACGGAGGAAGGUGGGGAUGAGGUCAAAUCAUCAUGCCCCUUACGUCUUGGGCAACACACGUGCUACAAUGGGCGCUACAGAGUGAAGCAAAGCAGUGAUGCGGAGCAAACCACAAAAAGGCGUCCUCAGUUCGGAUUGUAGUCUGCAACUCGACUACAUGAAGUUGGAAUCGCUAGUAAUCGCGAAUCAGAAUGUCGCGGUGAAUACGUUCUCGGGCCUUGUACACACCGCCCGU
rnacentral:rRNA from 1 species